CCUACGGGGUGCAGCAGUAGGGAAUCUUCGGCAAUGGACGAAAGUCUGACCGAGCAACGCCGCGUGAGUGAAGAAGGUUUUCGGAUCGUAAAACUCUGUUGUUAGAGAAGAACAAGGACGUUAGUAACUGAACGUCCCCUGACGGUAUCUAACCAGAAAGCCACGGCUAACUACGUGCCAGCAGCCGCGGUAAUACGUAGGUGGCAAGCGUUGUCCGGAUUUAUUGGGCGUAAAGCGAGCGCAGGCGGUUUCUUAAGUCUGAUGUGAAAGCCCCCGGCUUAACCGGGGAGGGUCAUUGGAAACUGGGAGACUUGAGUGCAGGAGAGGGAAGCGGAAUUCCAUGUGUAGCGGUGAAAUGCGUAGAGAUAUGGAGGAACACCAGUGGCGAAGGCGGCUUCCUGGCCUGUAACUGACGCUGAGGCGCGAAAGCGUGGGGAGCAAACAGGAUUAGAUACCCGAGUAGUC
rnacentral:rRNA from 1 species